UGAGACACGGUCCAAACUCCUACGGGAGGCAGCAGUGAGGAAUAUUGGUCAAUGGACGAGAGUCUGAACCAGCCAAGUAGCGUGCAGGAUGACGGCCCUAUGGGUUGUAAACUGCUUUUGCGCGGGGAUAACACCCUCCACGUGCUGGAGGUCUGCAGGUACCGCGCGAAUAAGGACCGGCUAAUUCCGUGCCAGCAGCCGCGGUAAUACGGAAGGUCCGGGCGUUAUCCGGAUUUAUUGGGUUUAAAGGGAGCGUAGGCCGUGAGGUAAGCGUGUUGUGAAAUGUAGGCGCCCAACGUCUGCACUGCAGCGCGAACUGCCCCACUUGAGUGCGCGCAACGCCGGCGGAACUCGUCGUGUAGCGGUGAAAUGCUUAGAUAUGACGAAGAACCCCGAUUGCGAAGGCAGCUGGCGGGAGCGUAACUGACGCUGAAGCUCGAAAGCGCGGGUAUCGAACAGGAUUAGAUACCCUGGUAGUCCGCGCGGUAAACGAUGGAUGCCCGCUGUGGCGCGCCUGGCGUGCCGCGGCUAAGCGAAAGCAUUAAGCAUCCCACCUGGGGAGUACGCCGGCAACGGUGAAACUCAAAGGAAUUGACGGGGGCCCGCACAAGCGGAGGAACAUGUGGUUUAAUUCGAUGAUACGCGAGGAACCUUACCCGGGCUUGAAUUGCAACUGAAUGAUGUGGAGACAUGUCAGCCGCAAGGCAGUUGUGAAGGUGCUGCAUGGUUGUCGUCAGCUCGUGCCGUGAGGUGUCGGCUUAAGUGCCAUAACGAGCGCAACCCCUCUCCGUAGUUGCCAUCGGAUGAUGCCGGGCACUCUGCGGACACUGCCACCGUAAGGUGUGAGGAAGGUGGGGAUGACGUCAAAUCAGCACGGCCCUUACGUCCGGGGCCACACACGUGUUACAAUGGGGGGUACAGAGGGCCGCUGUCCGGUGACGGUCGGCCAAUCCCUAAAACCCCUCUCAGUUCGGACUGGAGUCUGCAACCCGACUCCACGAAGCUGGAUUCGCUAGUAAUCGCGCAUCAGCCACGGCGCGGUGAAUACGUUCCCGGGCCUUGUACACACCGCCCGUCAAGCCAUGAAAGCCGGGGGUACCUGAAGUGCGUAACCGCAAGGAGCGCCCUAGGGUAAAACUGGUGAUUGGGGCUAAGUCGUAACAAGGUAGCCGUACCGGAAGGUGCGGCUG
rnacentral:rRNA from 1 species